GGGCCCGUAGUAUACCGGUAGAACACCGCAUUCGCAUUGCGGAGGACCGGGUUCAAUUCCCGGCGGGUCCA
rfam:Candidatus Woesebacteria bacterium RBG_16_42_24 RBG_16_scaffold_1, whole genome shotgun sequence.